rnacentral:tRNA from 1 species
CCGGCGCGGGGACCAGGCCCCGGGCCACGGACAUCUCGAGUUCAGUGGACGGCGAUCCGGCCACGGUCUGGCGGGUCGACGCCCCCGCGCCGGC